CGGACGGGUGAGUAACGCGUGAGAAUCUGCCCAUAGGACGGGGAUAACAUYUGGGAAACUGGUGCUAAUACCGGAUGAGCCGAGAGGUAAAACAUUUAUGGCCUAUGGAGGAGCUCGCGGCUGAUUAGCUAGUUGGUGGGGUAAGAGCCUACCAAGGCAAUGAUCAGUAGCUGGUCUGAGAGGAUGAUCAGCCACACUGGGACUGAGACACGGCCCAGACUCCUACGGGAGGCAGCAGUGGGGAAUUUUCCGCAAUGGGGGCAACCCUGACGGAGCAACGCCGCGUGAGGGAAGAAUGUUUGUGGACAGUAAACCUCUUUUAAUAGGGAAGAAUUCUGACGGUACCUAUUGAAUAAGCAUCGGCUAACUCCGUGCCAGCAGCCGCGGUAAUACGGAGGAUGCAAGCGUUAUCCGGAAUUAUUGGGCGUAAAGGGUCCGCAGGUGGUUAGUCAAGUCAGCUGUAAAAUACUCAGGCUUAACUUGGGAUGUGCAGUUGAAACUGAUUGACUAGAGUACGGAAGGGGUAGAGGGAAUUCCUAGUGUAGCGGUGAAAUGCGUAGAUAUUAGGAAGAACACCAGUGGCGAAGGCGCUCUACUGGACCUGUACUGACACUGAGGGACGAAAGCUAGGGGAGCGAAAGGGAUUAGAUACCCCUGUAGUC
rnacentral:rRNA from 1 species